AACUGAAGAGAUAAGUAAAUGUCAGAGGUUAAGAUAAAUCUUUUUCUUUUUUUACCUGUCCAUAUUUACAAACAUUCUGCGUUCCGUACAUAGACGCCUGGAUAAGAACCCCUGUGCAAGAAUGACUUUGGUGCUACUUUAAAAAAAGUGGUUGGGGAAGACCUCAUAGGAAAUGACAUCAAUAAUAGAUUGCAUGAUAACCUAUACUAGUUCUUACUGUUACCAAUUUAAAUUCUAACUGCUUAAAAGCUAACACGGUCCUUCCCUUUUUUUGAGCACCUGAUUUGAAGUACUUUGAGUAGGCCUCAAGUGUCGUAUGCAAGUACUAAUCUAGGGGGUGUGCCUUUUUCAAAAGUGAUUUUUGGAGAAGAUAGGAUGUAGUAUUAUAGCAAGGAAAAUUCAGCAUCUGGGAUGAUCAUUUCCUUCUGAUUAGAGAAAUUUACCUUGUUAAUAUUCUGUUCACCCAACCCUUCUACCCUCAGUGUUGACCAAUACUGGAAAAAAUUUAGGGCUUUGGAGUGAAAUUUUAAAAGUUCAAAACCUUGAUCUAUUAAUUAGUUUGCUUACCUUGAGGAAGUUGCUUAUCUUAAUCUUCUAUUUGAACUUCAAGUACAAAAACCCUACUCACGGACUUAACUGUGACCAUUAAAUGAGAUAACCAAAAGGCUGAAGAUGAUAGUGAGUUGAUUUUACCUUUUUUCUACAUACAGAUGUUUCAGUUCUUUCAUUAGUGGUUGAAGGUCUGCGUUCUUUUUCUCCCUCCACUCCCUCCUUGACUACCCCCAGAAUGAGCUUUGAUGGUCUCUACUGGGCCUUUGGGGGGGAUACAUUAUCCUGUUGUUUUUGUUCUGUUACUUAUAUAUAAUACUCAUGGAUUUAUUUCUACUUCUCUUCCAUUUUCUAAUUUAUAAUAACAUGUGCAUCUUGUUUUCCCUGCCAAACUAAAUUUCGUGAGGGGGUACAUACUGCACAGUUUUUUUUGUCACAUACUGCU
rnacentral:lncRNA from 1 species